GCAACAGCAGAGGACUUUCCGGAGCUGCGGAACAAUAUUUCGGACUAACUUUGAAGGAAACCCACUAAAUUAAUGUCUUAUAUGGCUACAUUUCUUAAGAAGUAUGGGUUUUAUUUCGACUUUUGACAAUAUUGUUAUCAGACUUUUUUUAGUCGGUUCACGCAAAGUUAUUAGCACUUGAAAGCGUAGCUCGCGUAUAGCCUAUUAUCGCUAAUAGCCUAGCCAAUAUUUACAGUUGGAGUCGGGUGUUUACACACACCUUAGCCAAAUACAUUUAAACUCAGUUUUUCACAAUUCCUGACGUUUAAUCCGAGUAAAUAUUCCCUGUUUUAGGUCAGUUAGGAUCACCACCUUAUUUUAAGAAUGUGAAAUAUCAGAAUAAUAGUAGAGAGAAUGAUUUAUUUCAGCUCUAUUUCUUUCAUCACAUUCCCAGUGGGUCAGAAGUUUACCUGCACUCAAUUAGUAUUUGGUAGCAUUGCCUUUAAAUUGUUUAACUUGGGUCAAACGUUUCGGGUAGCCUUCCACAAUUAAUUUUGUGAAUUUUGGCCGAUUCCUCCUGACAGAGCCGGUGUAACUGAGUCAGGUUUGUAGGCCUCCUUCCUCGCACAAGCUUUUUCAGGUCUGCCCACACAUUUUCUAUGGAAUUGAGGUCAGGGCUUUGUGAUGGCCAUUCCAAUACCUUGACUUUGUUGUCUUUAAGCCAUUUUGCCACAACUUUGGAAGUAUGCUUGGGGUCAUUGUACAUUUGGAAGACCCAUUUGCGACCAAGCUUUAACUUCCUGACUGAUGUCUUGAGAUGUUGCUUCAAUAUAUCCACAUUAUUUUCCAGACUCAUGAUGCCAUCUAUUUUGUGAAGUGCACCAGUCUCUCCUGCAGCAAAGCACCCCCACAACAUGAUGCUGCCACCGCCGUGCUUCACGGUCGGGAUGGUGUUCUUCAGCUUUUUUAUGGCGGUUUUGGAGCAGUGGCUUUUUCCUUGCUGAGCGGCCUUUCGUUUAUGUUGAUAUAGGACUCGUUUUACUGUGGAUAUAGAUACUUUUGUACCUGUUUCCUUCAGCAUCUUCACAAGGUCCUUUGCUGUUGUUCUGGGAUUGAUUUUCACUUUUUGCAGCAAAAUAUGUUCAUCUCUAGGAGACAGAACGCGUCUCCUUCCUCAGAGGUAUGACCGCUGCGUGUUCCCAUUAGAGGUCGACCGAUUAAUCGGAAUGGCCGAUUAAUUAGGGCCGAUUUCAAGUUUUCAUAGCAAUCGGUAAUCGGUAUUUUUGGCCACCGAUUUGCCCUUUUUUAAAAAAAACCUUUAUUUAACUAGGCAAGUCAGUUAAGAACACAUUCUUAUUUUCAAUGACGGCCUAGGGUUAACUGCCUUGUUCAGGGGCAGAACGACAGAUUUUUACCUUGUCAGCUUGGGGAUGCAACCUUACGUUAACUAGCCCAACGCUCUAACCACCUGCUUUACGUUGCCAAGGCCGAGGACGUCUCUGUGGUUGCAUUAGAGGCUUUGGAAUAAAUGGCCCAGUUAUUUAACAGCCUGACUCCUGUCAUAUGGAAAAAAGAAACACUGAACCUGUUCAAAAACAGGUGAACUAGUUAAGUUAAGAAAUUGGAGGGAUGCGUCGGGUGUGGUGUUGGGGCAUCCUCUGGAGAUGGAGGGUCAGUUACUUCAGGCAAAGGGUCUCUGAAAACGUAUUUCAACAAGCUGAACACCAUCUUGAAACAGAAGGUGGAUCCAACAUCAAAUCCACUCGAAAAUAGGGAACACAGCGCAUGUGAGAUCGUGGGAGCGGAGCUUCGCUACAAACUAGUGCAGUUUUAAAAAUUCCUCGACACCAUGGUCAAGCUGUGACGAAGUCGGCCUCAGAGUCAAGCCGUGAGGAAGGAGCGGUCUGUUGGACAACCACAUAACCAUCAUUGGAGACAUGUAACAUGUCCCUGAGGCUGGCAAAUAGAUUGACGGAUAAUAUUUUACUGACUGACUGAUUUAUUUAUAUGUGAAGGCUAUGUAUUUAUUUAUUUAUAAUACAAUUAAAUGACAUAAACAUGCAUCUAUUAUCAUAUUGUUUUUUUCAUUCAUUUAUAUAUUCAGUCAUCCAUUUAUUCAUCCAUUGUCUUUCAUGCAUUCAUUUGUUCAUAGGGAAUCUAC
rnacentral:lncRNA from 1 species